GGGGGUGCCAGGUUUCGACGGGGGUACUCCGAGGUGAAAGAUGCAUACCGCGGCCCAUGCCCCGCGUUAUCAAGCUUGGAAAAACACAAUCGCGAAUAGCGAACUAGCACUGGCUGCCUAAUCUCAGCCACGUUUCCCCCGGCAUCGCCUGUGUGCCGGGAAGAAGCGUAACUUAAGUAGGCUGCCCCAAAGGACCCGUGCUCAGGGGGCCGGAGGGUAAGACCAAUCUGGGCUAGCUUGCCGUGAUGCUUCGUUGCUUCCGCGGUUACGGCAAGCGAAUCAACAGGAAGCAACUAAGUAUGUAGGUUCUUUCGCUGAGGGCUUCCGGACGAGAGUUCGAUUCUCUCCACCUCCAUUG
rnacentral:tmRNA from 1 species